GGCCUUAGUCUGCUAUUACAAUUGUGUCAGAAUGGUUGAUCAUUGAGCAGUGAUCGACCAUUCUGACACAAUUGUAAUAGAAGACUAAGGCC
rnacentral:pre_miRNA from 1 species